ACACUGCAAAAUUUAUUGGUUUAUUUUAACAAUUUGUGGUUGCAUACAGCGUGCAUUUCGCAAUAAUAAAUAUGGAAAACGAUAAGAAAGAUAGCAAAGCUUGCCAUGAUCAAAUUGAAAAAAUAAUGCAAGAAUUGGAUGCCACCAAUACAGGUUCCAAUUCAUCAACUCCACCCGCCUUGGAUGAGCCACACAGACCAAUACUUCUGCCUCCUGAAAUCAAAGAAGAACCCAAAGAAAAGGACGCCGAAAUGAUAUCUCAGCAAGAAGAUGUUUGUAGCAACAAUGAAUUGGUUGCAGUUCCGACUCACAUUUCUGAUGACCCGAAAUCUUUAUCAAAUACUCAAGGUCAAAGCACGCAACAUGUAAUGCAAAUAAAGAAAGGAAGGGUUGAAGACAGUAAUGAAGUAUCAGCUGAACCACCUAAAAUAGACAAAGACAUAACAAGUAGUGAAACACAAAACACAAUUCAAACACCAGUGGCGGAAGGAAUAAUAGGAAUCAAACCUGAACCGAUAGAUGCACCUUCACUGGCAGCAGAUGCUGCGUCAGAAAAUGUGACUUAUAACAGAGGAGUAGAAGUACCAACUGAAACGAAUAUGGAUGAUUCAACUGCACCCAACAGUCCAAAUGGUGUGCCUGAAGCAGAUGGAGCAUUGCCCGAUAAUUUCUUUGAUGACUUAAUCAAGGAUGCUGAUAAUAUCACAGCAGCAGCUUUAGAGUGCAGCGAACCAAAUACACUUGAAAAUGAAUCCACAGAAAUGUUAGUCAAUAUAAAAAACGAACUUGUUGAUACUACAACUAUUCCAGAAACAACAACAACGGAGACUUUAGAGUCCACCGAACCGCCACAACAACAAAAACAUACCGCCGAACAAAAUAUUGCUACUCCAGAACUUCUUAAUGUAAAAAGUGAACCUGUUGGUACAACAGCUGUUUCAGAAACCACAACAUCCGCACCGAUACCAGAAAACUUUUUUGACGAUUUAUUAGUUGACCAUGUUGCCAAACGUAUAGACGACGUAGUCAAUCAUGGACUUGAAAUAAAAUACUCCGAACGUCUUAAGGAGCUGGAACUUUUGGAAGCUGAAGAGCAGAGCUCAAAUAAGGCACAUAAAAAACAUAAAAAGAAGAAAAAGAAAUCACAUAAACGUACGCACAGUGAAGCAAAUGAAGACGAAGAGACGCUUGUUGCCAACGUAAACAAGCGUAGCAAGCACACAUCCCAUAGUCCUAGUAUGCCACAAGCAGCGUGCAUACGCGUUAAAAGCGAAUUCACAACUGGUGAAGAAAGUACACUUCACGGUGGUACACCUUUUUCUAACCAUUUGAGACCUGACACAUUUAAUUUAGAUUCGGUUGAGCCGGAAACCAGCGCUGCAGGCGCUAGAUGUAUGAUACGCGUUAAAUCCGAGUUUGUCACAAACCUACCUGUUGCGGAAGAAUCAAAUGACUGCUUACCAGUAAGAGAGACUGAGCUUUUUCUACGACGUAGCAACGUCAAUAGAAAUGGUCUAAUUAUGGACAUGACCGCACCGUUAGGUUUCAAGCGCAUUAAACUGGAAAGUGAUUCGGAAGAAUCAGAAGCAGAAGAGUCUAUUUUACCAAAAGAUAAAAUGGAAAAUUCAAAACAACGAGCAAUAUUAGCUAUAGAGGAGUUUAACAAGGCAAACAAAAACCGUAAAGACCCGUCUUUUAUCUAUACGACAACUGUGCGUAAACUACCCAAUAGUAGUUCUUAUAUCAGGCAGCAAAUAUACGAUAAUCGUUCACCAUUGCACAACGUUAACAAUGUUCUCUAUAAGUUCAACUCCUACGCUAAUCACUUCAACCUACAGGAAUGGGGUAUAGAAGCACUGCCACCAAAAGCAAGUGAAGUAGCAAAAAUAUUAGGUUUUGAUAUACAUGCUUUGGACAAGAAAAAGAAAACAUUUACAUUUCCACCAGAAAUACAAAAAAUUAAAAGAGAAGCAAUAGAACAGACUGAAAAGCGAUUGAUUGACGUGCAAACGUCAUUUCUCAGAUCUGAGUCCACGCAAACCGACAAAGUCACCGGACAUGAUAUAGCCAUACAAACUAUACCGCAAGGCAAUAAUAUCGGUACACAAACAACAGCUAUGUCUGCCGCAGGUAGCAGUAAAUACGGUGAUCUGCCACUAGUGCGGCAAAUAAGCACGUUCAAUGAAAAUCAACUAAUGGCUUUAAGUGAUUUUGCCGAUUUGAUACGCGAACCGGCGCUAGCGGCCGACUCGACAGAAUUGUAUCGUCUGCACCAUCGUUUGAUAGAUAUCUAUAAAUACUCACAACUACCAUCUGAAUUCGGACAAAAUACCCAGCAUUCAAACAAAUAUAGUAUGCAUGAUCCACGUCAAAAAAGAAUAAACUCGUUAGCGGAGUCGCCACAACCGCCAGCACCAAGGAUGUUGGUGAGGCAUGAAGCGCAACCGCAAUCAUGGCCACACACUGUUGUACGACCACAUGCAGUUGUUCAGCCACCUUAUCAUCGUCCACUAGCACCGUUGCGACCACAGACGCCGGUGCCGAUACGCCAACGACUAGAACGUACAGCAGAUAUGUCAUAUACUAUUCCUGUUAUCGCAAAUGUGACGUCGAUUCAUCAAAGUGGCACACUACCGAUGGAUCCACGACAAAACACUUUCGGCGGUGGUGCCAUGCGACGGUAAUGCUAAGUUGCGUUACAUAUCGCACAAUUUAUAGCCUUACAAGCCACUACUUAUUACAUAAAUAUUUUUUACGCUGACAAUACCGCAAUGUUGAAAAGUUGAUUAUAUACUUUUAAGCUUAGCCUAGUCAUUAGUGGCCCAUCCACAUACCACUACCCUCGGUUUUUCUUGACAAUUGGGUCUUUAGAUACACAUUGGAACAUUAAAAGAAAUAUCUGGUGGUGCUGUUGAAAAAUUAGUCGGUAAUUUAACCAAUAGGUGACUUGCAAAUAUAAGAAUUGUCGCAAAUUUUAAUUCGUGUUCGUGUUGUGAGCAAAUUCGUACAAAAGCACUAACCGAACUCCUCAGUCAAAUCAAAGUAAAAGUUGUAUGUGAAUCAGCCAUAAAGGGUUUAUGUAAACAAACAGUUGUUGGUACAUGAAGCUGCAGGCUUAACAAAUGUUUUAGUGGCAGAAAACGCUCUUCAUGUAAUUUGGAAGAAUACAGCAGAAUUGUUUGGCCUGUAUGAUUUAAAAUCCUGGUUCAUAUCAGCUUGACAAAAUCGUAUUAUCAAUCAGUUAGUGAGUAUGGUUUGAAAUCGCUUUCAUUUUGCAGUAGCGGAUUUUGAUUACAUAUAUACGUUUUUUCUUCUUGUCUUCCAUAUAUGUACUAUAUAUACAUAUAUAUGUCUCUAUGUAAAUACUAACACUAAAAUAAUCGGAUUAUGCAUGUUUGUUUGCAAGUUGGAAAGAAAAUUAUAUUGUGCUGAACUAUAAAGCAAACAAAAAAAAAUCUCAUAAAAUUUACUUA
rnacentral:misc_RNA from 1 species